rnacentral:lncRNA from 1 species
UUUUUUUUGGAGGGGAAGUGUGUUAUACUUGGCCGGGCUAGCUUGCACACACCUCAACUGAUCCAGGGGAUAGUCUGUCCACCCCACCACAAGAACAGUUAGCCAAGGUAAUCCCAUCCACCAAGGCUUGAAUAGAAGGGCACAACAGCAAAUCAGGGUACUUUUUGUCGCAAUUAGCAUCUUACAAGUAGAUAGUCUCUCAUAAUCUCAAGAGUUUUAGGGAAAUCACUUCUUCCCAUGUCCCAAAAUAAAUUUACAUGUCCAGUCAAGAAUUAAAAGUUCUUU